rnacentral:rRNA from 1 species
AGAACGAACGCUGGCGGCAUGCCUAAUACAUGCAAGUCGAACGAACUCUUCGGAGUUAGUGGCGCACGGGUGCGUAACGCGUGGGAAUCUGCCCCUUGGUUCGGAAUAACAGUUGGAAACGACUGCUAAUACCGGAUGAUGACGAAAGUCCAAAGAUUUAUCGCCAAGGGAUGAGCCCGCGUAGGAUUAGCUAGUUGGUGAGGUAAAGGCUCACCAAGGCAACGAUCCUUAGCUGGUCUGAGAGGAUGAUCAGCCACACUGGGACUGAGACACGGCCCAGACUCCUACGGGAGCAGCAGUAGGGAAUAUGGACAAUGGGCGAAAGCCUGAUCCAGCAAUG